rnacentral:rRNA from 1 species
AACGAACGCUGGCGGCAGGCUUAACACAUGCAAGUCGAACGCAUCCUUCGGGGUGAGUGGCAGACGGGUGAGUAACGCGUGGGAACGUGCCCUUCAGUUCGGAAUAACCCAGGGAAACUUGGGCUAAUACCGGAUACGUGCGAGAGCAGAAAGAUUUAUCGCUGAAGGAUCGGCCCGCGUCUGAUUAGCUAGUUGGUGAGGUAAUGGCUCACCAAGGCGACGAUCAGUAGCUGGUCUGAGAGGAUGAUCAGCGACAUUGGGGCUGAGACACGGCCCAAACUCCUACGGGAGGCGGCAGUGGGGAAUAUUGGACAAUGGGCGCAAGCCUGAUCCAGCCAUGCCGCGUGAGUGAUGACGGCCUUAGGGUUGUAAAGCUCUUUCGUCCGGGACGAUAAUGACGGUACCGGAAGAAGAAGCCCCGGCUAACUUCGUGCCAGCCGCCGCCGUAAAAC